GAAGAGAGAGUUCAAGAGUACGUGAAACCGUCUGGGAGUAAACGGGUGGUUCCCGAAAGUGCGAAAGGGGAGAUUCAGGUCUCGCCGUGCGCCGGGCCGCGCCCGCGAUGAAGGGAUGGUGUUUUCGCGGCCGUGGGGCGACCCUCGGUCCGGGANNNGCGCCACCCCGCGGGUGCGGUCUAUCCCGGCGUCGGAGUGACGCACUUCUCCCCCGGUAGAACGUCGCGAU
rnacentral:rRNA from 1 species